AAACCGUUCAGGGGUAAACCUGAGAAACCCAAAAGAUCGAAUGGGGAGAUUCAUCGUCGACGGCGUUGGCUACCGUUUGUGCGCGAUGCUCCGGGUGGGACCCUGUGGUUCCAUUAGCGAGGGCACGCCACCUUCGGAUCGAACUUUCCUGCGUCGUAGUCGUGCACUUCUCCCCUAGUAGGACGUCGCGACCCGUUGUGUGUCGGUCUACGGCCCGAGCGGGAGACUGUCGCGUCGCUUCGGCGCACGCGGCAGACCCUCGGUCGCCCGGCCGGCUGCACGACGGUACACCAACGGUAUCGGGCCGCAGCCAAUCCAUUCUCGAAUGUGUGUGCGUCCAUCCCGCCGCAAGCUCGGUCAGUUCUUACCCGGAGGUACGGACCCUGUGCCGUCCCCGGGCCUGGCCAGCUGUUAGCAGGCGGUGUCCUCGGACCGGCCAAACCUCGGAUUACCGGUCGGCGACGCUAUUGCUUUGGGUACUCUCAGGACCCGUCUUGAAACACGGACCAAGGAGUCUAACAUGUGCGCGAGUCAUUGGGAUGCACAAACCUAAAGGCGAAAUGAAAGUGAAAGUCGGCCUUCGCGCCGAUCGAGGGAGGAUGGGCCGCGUAACCAUGCGGCCCCGCACUCCCGGGGCGUCUCGUUCUCACUGCGAGAAGAGGCGCACCUAGAGCGUACACGUUGGGACCCGAAAGAUGGUGAACUAUGCCUGGUCAGGACGAAGUCAGGGGAAACCCUGAUGGAGGUCCGUAGCGAUUCUGACGUGCAAAUCGAUCGUCGGAACUGGGUAUAGGGGCGAAAGACUAAUCGAA
rnacentral:rRNA from 3 species